rnacentral:rRNA from 1 species
CCUACGGGUGGCAGCAGUGGGGAAUAUUGGACAAUGGGGGCAACCCUGAUCCAGCCAUGCCGCGUGUGUGAAGAAGGCCCUCGGGUUGUAAAGCACUUUCAGUGAGGAAGAACGCCUGGUGGUUAAUACCCAUCAGGAAAGACAUCACUCACAGAAGAAGCACCGGCUAACUCCGUGCCAGCAGCCGCGGUAAUACGGAGGGUGCGAGCGUUAAUCGGAAUUACUGGGCGUAAAGCGCGCGUAGGUGGCUUGAUAAGCCGGUUGUGAAAGCCCCGGGCUCAACCUGGGAACGGCAUCCGGAACUGUCAAGGUAGAGUGCAGGAGAGGAAGGUAGAAUUCCCGGUGUAGCGGUGAAAUGCGUAGAGAUCGGGAGGAAUACCAGUGGCGAAGGCGGCCUUCUGGACUGACACUGACACUGAGGUGCGAAAGCGUGGGUAGCAAACAGGAUUAGAUACCCUGGUAGUC